rnacentral:rRNA from 1 species
AUUGAACGCUGGCGGCAGGCCUAACACAUGCAAGUCGAACGAGCGGCGGACGGGUGAGUAAUGUAUGGGAAACUGCCCGAUGGAGGGGGAUAACUACUGGAAACGGUGGCUAAUACCGCAUACCAUCAGAUGUGCCCAGAUGGGAUUAGCUGGUUGGUGGGGUAACGGCUCACCAAGGCGACGAUCCCUAGCUGGUCUGAGAGGAUGACCAGCCACAUUGGAACUGAGACACGGUCCAGACGCCUACGGGAGGCAGCAGUGGGGAAUAUUGCACAAUGGGCACAAGCCUGAUGCAGCCAUGCCGCGUGUAUGAAGAAGGCCUUCGGGUUGUAAAGUACUUUCAGCGGGGAGGCGUUACCCGUAGAAGAAGCACCGGCUAACUCCGUGCCAGCAGCCGCGGUAAUAC